UCACCCCUCAAGCCUGACUUGGUGUUGGUGGAUGUUUAGCACGUCACGGUGCUCCACUGAAAGAUAAUGACCGAGUUGUGAUUCAACGCGCGGUACAGUGAGCUGAUUGAUUUUGGCACGUACUGGAGUGGUGGUCACGCACUCGUCUGGACGUCGCGAGAGCCCGUGUGGUUCUCGGGCGGCCACCCCAACUUCUGAA
rnacentral:misc_RNA from 1 species